rnacentral:rRNA from 1 species
CCUACGGGCGGCAGCAGUGAGGAAUAUUGGUCAAUGGCCGGAAGGCUGAACCAGCCAUGCCGCGUGAAGGUCAGUGCCCUAUGGGCGUUAAACUUCUUUUGUGCGGGAGCAAUAAUGGUCACGUGUGGCCAGACGAGAGUACCGUACGAAUAAGCAUCGGCUAACUCCGUGCCAGCAGCCGCGGUAAUACGGGGGUUGCAAGCGUUAUCCGUGUUUUUUGGGUUUAAAGGGGGCGUCGGCUGUGAGGUAAAUCAGCGGGGAAAUGCCCCCGCGCAACGGGGGGAAGGGCCAUUGAUACUGGCUUGCUGGAAUGCGGAUGCCGUGGGAGGAAUGUGUGGUGUAGCGGUGAAAUGCAUAGAUAUCACACAGAACACCGAUUGCGAAGGCAUCUCACGGAUCCGCGAUUGACGCUGAUGCACGAAAGCGUGGGUAUCAAACAGGAUUAGAUACCCCUGUAGUC